rnacentral:rRNA from 1 species
UACGGAGGGUGCAAGCGUUAUCCGGAUUCACUGGGUUUAAAGGGCGCGUAGGCGGCCUGUUAAGUCGAACGCGAAAUCCCCGGGCUCAACCCGGGAACUGCGUCCGAUACUGGCAGGCUUGAAUCCGGGAGAGGGAUGCGGAAUUCCAGGUGUAGCGGUGAAAUGCGUAGAUAUCUGGAGGAACACCGGUGGCGAAGGCGGCAUCCUGGACCGGCAUUGACGCUGAGGCGCGAAAGCCAGGGGAGCAAACGGG